CGGCAUACUACUCCAAAGAAGAAAACUUUCUGGGAGAGUUUACGUUCAUCAUGGGCUGUGACAGUGAACUCGUGUGGUGAUGAUGGAAAAUAUCAAAAGAUGGAUGGUUACUAAUUGCUUCAGAAGAGAUAUGAAGGCCAACAAAGAUAAUGUAAUUCAGUUUUUAAUUAAUUUAAUUUGUUUUAAAACUGCCAUAUAUAAAUUGCUAUUAACAUUCUUCCUUUUUUUUGUUUUUGCUGAAGUUCUACAGUCAUAUAUAACUGAUCUCUACAGUGAGAAUAAAGUAAUUAACAUUGAUGAAAUUCAUUUCUACCUAUUCUAG
rnacentral:lncRNA from 1 species